rnacentral:rRNA from 1 species
AGCUCUCGCUGUGAAAUGUCCAGUUAAGUCUGACAACGAGCAAGACCCCCACCCCUUGUUGUUAUUCCCCUCUCGUGAGGCGGGGCACUCUAAGGGGACUGCCGCUGUUAAACCGGAGGAAGGUGGGGACCACGUCAAGUCAUCAUGCCCCUAACCCCCAGGGCUCCACACGUGCUACAAUGGCGGGUACAAAGGGUUGCGACCCCGAAAGGGGGAGCCAAUCCCUUAAACCCCCUCGUAGUCGGGAUUGGGGGUCUGCAACUCGCCCUCAUGACGUGGAAUCCGCUAGUAAUCGCGGU